rnacentral:rRNA from 1 species
AGUGAACGCUGGCGGUAGGCCUAACACAUGCAAGUCGAACGGCAGCACAGUAAGAGCUUGCUCUUACGGGUGGCGAGUGGCGGACGGGUGAGGAAUACAUCGGAAUCUACUUUUUCGUGGGGGAUAACGUAGGGAAACUUACGCUAAUACCGCAUACGACCUACGGGUGAAAGCAGGGGAUCUUCGGACCUUGCGCGAUUGAAUGAGCCGAUGUCGGAUUAGCUAGUUGGCGGGGUAAAGGCCCACCAAGGCGACGAUCCGUAGCUGAUCUGAGAGGAUGAUCAGCCACACUGGAACUGAGACACGGUCCAGACUCCGACGGGAGGCAGCAGUGGGGAAUAUUGGACAAUGGGCGCAAGCCUGAUCCAGCCAUACCGCGUGGGUGAAGAAGGCCUUCGGGUUGUAAAGCCCUUUUGUUGGGAAAGAAAAGCAGCAGGUUAAUACCCCGCUAUUCUGACGGUACCCAAAGAAUAAGCACGGGCAAACUUCGG